GGGUUCACACGACACAGCAUCGCUGUGUAGACCAAAGUCGAUGUCGUGUGGACCCGCUAUAAAAUUUUGUGAAGUGAUAAGCACCACCGAAGUCAAGGUAGUCGGCACAAGUCGGCAGUAGUCGGGGUAUCUAUAAGUUACGAUGGAGGAGAAGGAAUCGGGGAAAUGGGAUAUUGUUAUCCCAAUAUGUAUGAAUAUGAUAAUGUCGAUAGUGGCAUAUUUUUUAACGGUACGCCUAAUUCCCAGAGUGAAAGACACUUUCAUCAAAGCUAACUUAUACGGGAUAGACUUGAAUAAAAGGAGCAGCGAAAAGGUACCAGAGGCACUGGGUGUUAUUAGUGGAUGCACGUUUCUUAUAACAUUGUUUCUUUUUAUUCCAAUACCUUUCGGAGAGUAUUUAUUCCACCAGGUGAAUUUUCCACAUCAUGAGUUCGUUGAUAUGCUAGCAGCGUUACUUUCUAUAUGUUGUAUGCUGUUAUUGGGUUUUGCGGAUGACGUCUUGGAUUUGCAAUGGAGGCAUAAGCUGCUUCUACCUACUAUCGCAUCACUGCCAUUAUUAAUGGUAUACUAUGUUAAUUUCAAUUCUACUAUGAUCAUAGUACCAAAACCGUUGAGGUCGUGGUUUGGAUUUACCAUUGACUUGGGGAUAGUAUACUAUUUAUACAUGGGGAUGCUUGCUGUGUUUUGUACAAAUGCCAUAAACAUUCUCGCUGGUAUUAAUGGACUGGAAGUUGGACAAAGUUUGGUGAUAGCUACAAGCAUAGCUAUAUUUAAUUUCAUCGAGUUAUCUGGUGACCUGUGGAAGGCUCAUCGAUUCUCCCUCUACUUUGUACUGCCAUACAUAAUGACCUCGCUUGCUCUCUUCAGAUAUAAUCGAUACCCUUCGCAAGUGUUCGUAGGGGACACAUUCUGCUAUUUGUCGGGUAUGACAUUUGCCGUGGUCGGCAUCAUUGGCCAUUUUAGCAAGACUGCGAUCCUUUUCUUCAUACCGCAGAUAUUGAACUUCCUGUACAGCGUACCACAAUUAUUCCACCUACUGCCCUGUCCACGUCACAGGAUACCAAAUUCCCGGGUAUGCACUAUAUGUCCACGGUACGUGUGUCCCGCACAGUUCACGCUCGAGCACUGACCGAUCAAAUUAUGAAAAAUAUCGUUAAUUAUUAUGUGAUGGUAAAAGUAUCGAAUAUCGUGGAGUCGCAUAGUAAUGCCAGUAAACCGUUCACGGUCGUAGAUACAAUAUGGAAACUGGAAAACUUGAUCCUAGCGUCACAGUUUUCAACAUGGCCGAUUUAAAUCCCGUAGCCAGAUUAAUCAUGUGGAUGUUCAAAAUGUUGCGGUUAGUC
rnacentral:misc_RNA from 1 species